rnacentral:rRNA from 1 species
GCACGGCUGAGGAACACGUGGGAACCCGCCCCCCGGUGGGGGAUAACGCGACGAAAGUUGCGCUAAUCCCGCAUACGUCCUUCGGGGGAAAGUGCAGUGCGCGCCGGGGGAGGUGCCUGCGGCCAUCAGGUCGUUGGUGGGGUAAGGGCCUACCAAGCCGAUGACGGGUAGCUGGUCUGGGAGGAUGACCAGCCAGACUGGGACUGAGACACGGCCCAGACUCCUACGGGAGGCAGCAGCAAGGAAUUUUCGGCAAUGGGCGCAAGCCUGACCGAGCAACGCCGCGUGCGGGAUGACGGCCUUCGGGUUGUAAACCGCUUUUCGGGGGGACGACCCUGACGGUACCCCCGGAACAAGCCCCGGCUAACUCUGUGCCAGCAGCCGCGGUAAGACAGAGGGGGCGAGCGUUGUCCGGAGUCACUGGGCGUAAAGCGCGCGCAGGCGGCAACCUUAGUGUCGUGUGAAAGCCCCCGGCUCAACCGGGGGAGGCCAUGGCAAACUGGGUCGCUCGAGCUGCGGAGAGGCCCCUCGAAUUGCCGGUGUAGCGGUGAAAUGCGUAGAGAUCGGCAGGAAGACCAAGGGGGAAGCCAGGGGGCUGGCCGCAGCUGACGCUGAGGCGCGACAGCGUGGGGAGCAAACCGGAUUAGAUACCCGGGUAGUCCACGCCGUAAACGAUGACCACUCGGCGUGCGGCGACUAUUGACGUCGCGGCGCGCCCUAGCUCACGCGAUAAGUGGUCCGCCUGGGAACUACGAGCGCAAGCUUAAAACUCAAAGGAAUUGUCGGGGGCCCGCACAAGCAGCGGAGCGUGUGGUUUAAUUCGACGCAACCCGAAGAACCUUACCCAGACUGGACAUGACGGUGCAGACGGCGGAAACGUCGUCGCCUCCGAGGGCC